rnacentral:rRNA from 1 species
CGAAAGCCUGACGGAGCAAUACCGCGUGAGGGAGGAAGGUUCUUGGAUUGUAAACCUCUUUUCUCAGGGAAGAAAAAAAUGACGGUACCUGAGGAAUAAGCAUCGGCUAACUCCGUGCCAGCAGCCGCGGUAAGACGGAGGAUGCAAGCGUUAUCCGGAAUUAUUGGGCGUAAAGGGUCCGCAGGUGGCUAUUCAAGUCUGCUUUCAAAGAGUGGAGCUCAACUCCAUAGAGGGAGUGGAAACUGAGUAGCUAGAGUAAGGAAGGGGUAAGAGGAAUUCCCAGUGUAGCGGUGAAAUGCGUAGAUAUUGGGAAGAACACCAGCAGCGAAGGCGUCUUACUGGUCCUUAACUGACACUGAUGGACGAAAGCUAGGGGAGCG